rfam:Ochrobactrum intermedium 229E Contig165, whole genome shotgun sequence.
CGCAUAUGAAGGAGACAGACCAAUGGGACUUACGCGAUCUUUGAAUGUCCUCAUGAUCUGUGCGGCAUUUGCAUUUGUUGCAGCGUUGAUA